UUCACACGUAUAGCAGAAAGUGUGAGAGAUGUAGAAGCACCCCUAUCGAGAAGGCAUCUCCGUCGUAUGAUAGAGACUCUCAUGCGAGAGAGUGUGGAGAGCACACGAUAUGAGAUCCCGGUGGUAGUACACGCUAAAAGAUGAUGUGGAAUAGUCGUUCGUAGUGGUAACUCUCAGAGUGACGCAGCUAACGCGUGAAGUCGACCGCGGGGGGAGUACGGUCACAAGAUUAAAACUAAAAAAAUUGAGGGGGACCCGCACAAGCGGUGGCAUGAUGUGGAUUUUUCGAUGCAACGCGAAAAACCUUACCUACCCUUGACAUGCCAGGAAUCCUUGAGAGAUCAGGGAGUGCUUUCGGGACAGGGGACACAGGUGGUGCAUGGUUGUCGUCAGCUCGUGUCGUGAGAUGUUUGGGUUUAAGUCCCCGCAAACGAGCGCAACCCCUUGUCCUUAAUUGCCAGCAUUUAGUUUGGGCACUUUUAGGGAGACUGCCGGUGACAAACCGGAGGAAGGUGGGGAUGACGUCAAGUCCUCAUCCCCUUUAUGAGUAGGGCUUCACACGUCAUACAAUGGUCGUACAAGAGGCAGCCAAGCCGCGAGGGGGAGCUAUUCUAGAAAGCCGAUUCAGUCCGGAUGCUAGUUGCAACUCGACUACGGAAGUGGAAUCGCUAGUAAUGCAGAUCAGCAUGCCACGGUGAAUACGUUCCCGGGUCUGUACACACCGCCCGUCCACCCAUAGAGUGGCAUCACCAGAAGUGGGUAGGGUAACCUUAGGGAGGGCGCUCACCACGGUGAGACAGAUGACUGGGGUGAAGUCGAAUCAAG
rnacentral:rRNA from 1 species